rnacentral:rRNA from 1 species
GGUUAAGCGACUAAGCGUACACGGUGGAUGCCCUGGCAGUCAGAGGCGAUGAAGGGCGUGCUAAUCUGCGAUAAGCGCCGGUAAGGUGAUAUGAACCGUUAUAACCGGCGAUACCCGAAUGGGGAAACCCAGUGUGAUUCGUCACACUAUCAUUAACUGAAUCCAUAGGUUAAUGAGGCGAACCGGGGGAACUGAAACAUCUAAGUACCCGAGGAAAAGAAAUCAACCGAGAUUCCCCAGUAGCGGCGAGCGAACGGGGAGGAGCCCAGAGCCUGAAUCAGCAUGUGUGUUAGUGGAAGCGUCUGGAAAGGUGCGCGAUACAGGGUGACAGCCCGUACACAAAAGCGCAUGUGCUGUGAGCUCGAUGAGUAGGGCGGGACACGUGGUAUCCUGUCUGAAUAUGGGGGACCAUCCUCCAAGGCUAAAUACUCCUGACUGACCGAUAGUGAACCAGUACCGUGAGGGAAAGGCGAAAAGAACCCGGCGAGGGGAGUGAAAAAGAACCUGAAACCGUGUACGUACAAGCAGUGGGAGCACAGGUUUACCUGUGUGACUGCGUACCUUUUGUAUAAUGGGUCAGCGACUUAUAUUCUGUAGCAAGGUUAACCGUAUAGGGGAGCCGUAGGGAAACCGAGUCUUAACCGGGCGUUAAGUUGCAGGGUAUAGACCCGAAACCCGGUGAUCUAGCCAUGGGCAGGUUGAAGGUUGGGUAACACUAACUGGAGGACCGAACCGACUAAUGUUGAAAAAUUAGCGGAUGACCUGUGGCUGGGGUGAAAGGCCAAUCAAACCGGGAGAUAGCUGGUUCUCCCGAAAGCUAUUUAGGUAGCGCCUCGUGAAUUCAUCUCCGGGGUAGAGCACUGUUUCGGCUAGGGGCCAUCCCGGCUUACCAACCCGAUGCAAACUGCGAAUACCGGAGAAUGUUAUCACGGGAGACACACGGCGGGUGCUAACGUCCGUCGUGAAGAGGGAAACAACCCAGACCGCCAGCUAAGGUCCCAAAGUCAUGGUUAAGUGGGAAACGAUGUGGGAAGGCCCAGACAGCCAGGAUGUUGGCUUAGAAGCAGCCAUCAUUUAAAGAAAGCGUAAUAGCUCACUGGUCGAGUCGGCCUGCGCGGAAGAUGUAACGGGGCUAAACCAUGCACCGAAGCUGCGGCAGCGAACGUAUCACCCAAGACAACUUUACGGAGUUGACGAUUGACGGAGCGAAGCGACGUCAAAGCGUUCAUUAAAGUCGAGUUGGCUUAGGGAUACGUUCGUUGGGUAGGGGAGCGUUCUGUAAGCCUGUGAAGGUGUGUCGUGAGGCAUGCUGGAGGUAUCAGAAGUGCGAAUGCUGACAUAAGUAACGAUAAAGCGGGUGAAAAGCCCGCUCGCCGGAAGACCAAGGGUUCCUGUCCAACGUUAAUCGGGGCAGGGUGAGUCGACCCCUAAGGCGAGGCCGAAAGGCGUAGUCGAUGGGAAACGGGUUAAUAUUCCGUACUUGGUGUUACUGCGAAGGGGGACGGAGAAGGCUAUGUUGGCCGGGCGACGGUUGUCCCGGUUUAAGCGUGUAGGUGUGUGUUCCAGGUAAAUCCGGUUCACUUUAACACUGAGGCGUGACGACGAGGCACUACGGUGCUGAAGCAACAAAUGCCCUGCUUCCAGGAAAAGCCUCUAAGCAUCAGGUAACACGAAAUCGUACCCCAAACCGACACAGGUGGUCAGGUAGAGAAUACCAAGGCGCUUGAGAGAACUCGGGUGAAGGAACUAGGCAAAAUGGUGCCGUAACUUCGGGAGAAGGCACGCUGACACGUAGGUGAAGUGAUUUACUCAUGGAGCUGAAGUCAGUCGAAGAUACCAGCUGGCUGCAACUGUUUAUUAAAAACACAGCACUGUGCAAACACGAAAGUGGACGUAUACGGUGUGACGCCUGCCCGGUGCCGGAAGGUUAAUUGAUGGGGUCAGCGCAAGCGAAGCUCCUGAUCGAAGCCCCGGUAAACGGCGGCCGUAACUAUAACGGUCCUAAGGUAGCGAAAUUCCUUGUCGGGUAAGUUCCGACCUGCACGAAUGGCGUAAUGAUGGCCAGGCUGUCUCCACCCGAGACUCAGUGAAAUUGAACUCGCUGUGAAGAUGCAGUGUACCCGCGGCAAGACGGAAAGACCCCGUGAACCUUUACUAUAGCUUGACACUGAACAUUGAGCCUUGAUGUGUAGGAUAGGUGGGAGGCUUUGAAGUGUGGACGCCAGUCUGCAUGGAGCCGACCUUGAAAUACCACCCUUUAAUGUUUGAUGUUCUAACGUGGACCCGUAAUCCGGGUUGCGGACAGUGUCUGGUGGGUAGUUUGACUGGGGCGGUCUCCUCCUAAAGAGUAACGGAGGAGCACGAAGGUUGGCUAAUCCUGGUCGGACAUCAGGAGGUUAGUGCAAUGGCAUAAGCCAGCUUGACUGCGAGCGUGACGGCGCGAGCAGGUGCGAAAGCAGGUCAUAGUGAUCCGGUGGUUCUGAAUGGAAGGGCCAUCGCUCAACGGAUAAAAGGUACUCCGGGAUAACAGGCUGAUACCGCCAAGAGUUCAUAUCGACGGCGGUGUUUGGCACCUCGAUGUCGGCUCAUCACAUCCUGGGCUGAAGUAGGUCCAAGGGUAUGGCUGUUCGCCAUUUAAAGUGGUACGCGAGCUGGGUUUAGAACGUCGUGAGACAGUUCGGUCCCUAUCUGCCGUGGGCGCUGGAGAACUGAGGGGGGCUGCUCCUAGUACGAGAGGACCGGAGUGGACGCAUCACUGGUGUUCGGGUUGUCAUGCCAAUGGCACUGCCCGGUAGCUAAAUGCGGAAGAGAUAAGUGCUGAAAGCAUCUAAGCACGAAACUUGCCCCGAGAUGAGUUCUCCCUGAGACUUAGAGUCUCCUGAAGGAACGUUGAAGACGACGACGUUGAUAGGCCGGGUGUGUAAGCGCAGCGAUGCGUUGAGCUAACCGGUACUAAUGAACCGUGAGGCUUAACCUU